rnacentral:lncRNA from 1 species
UGUCCCUCGCGGGCCGCCGUAGGUCCCGCUAUAAAGGACUCGGCGCCGGCCCACUCAUCCUCUCUGCGGCGGGCGGCGGGGCGGCCGGAUGGCUGUGGUGUGGCCGGGAUGCCUGGGCGUUCCCAACGCGGGCGCGGUGGCGCACCGUGCCGAGCGCCAGCGGGGCCUCCCAGGCGCGGCCGUCUCGGGGCCAGGGAGUUUGCCUGCCCGAAGCUGAGCGCCCGCAAGGAGAUGCAGGACCUUGGAUCCAGAGAGGCCAAGAAGGACGUGGCCUGGCUUGGCCUGUGUGCCUGUGGAGUGCCAUCGCCCAUCUCCCCUUUCCUGGGGACUUGCUGGGAAAAGUUAACUUCUCUCACAGAGCGAGGUUCAAGUGUUAACACCAAGAACAUAAGGACUUAUGGCUGAAGUUUCAGAAUUUCACCUGGAACAAUAACUGAAGUUUUAAGCCAAAAGUGUUACAGUGCAUUAAAAGAUUUGCUUCAUGUGCUUUGCUUGAGGAGUCU